UCCGUAGGUGAACCUGCGGAAGGAUCAUUAAUGAAUAUUAGAGUGCUCUCUUCAUCAGAGAGGCUCGACCCUUCAUUUCCAACACUGUGAACUAUAUCUGGGAAAUUGCGCAAGCGAUGACCCUCCAUUUUUAAACUCUACAAGUCUAAGAAUGUAACAAACUUAAAACAAAAAAAAACUUUCAACAACGGAUCUCUUGGCUCUCGCAUCGAUGAAGAACGCAGCGAAAUGUGAUAAGUAAUGUGAAUUGCAGAAUUCAGUGAAUCAUCGAAUCUUUGAACGCACCUUGCGCUCUCUGGUAUUCCGGAGAGCAUGCCUGUUUGAGUGUCAUGAACUCUUCAACCCACCUAUUCCUUGUUGAAUUGUGUGGCGCUUGGAUUCUGAGUGUUGCUGGCCACUACCGUUUCGGCGGGAAGGCGAAGCUCAUUCGUAAUACAUUAGCAACUCAAUUUCGUUCAUUCGGAUUGACUCGGCGUAAUAGACUAUUCGCUGAGGACACCAAGCAAUUGGUGGCCGAAUUUCGAGGUAGAAGCUUCUAACUCAAUUUGAAGUCAAAUUCUUAAGAUUAGACCUCAAAUCAGGCAGGAUUACCCGCUGAACUUAAGCAUAUCAAUAAGCGGAGGAAAAG
rnacentral:rRNA from 1 species